rnacentral:rRNA from 1 species
AUUGAACGCUGGCGGCAGGCCUAACACAUGCAAGUCGAGCGAGCGGCGGACGGGUGAGUAAUGUCUGGGAAACUGCCUGAUGGAGGGGGAUAACUACUGGAAACGGUAGCUAAUACCGCAUACCAUCAGAUGUGCCCAGAUGGGAUUAGCUAGUAGGUGGGGUAACGGCUCACCUAGGCGACUAUCCCUAGCUGGUCUGAGUGGAUGACCAGCAAUACUGGAACUGAGAAACGGUCAAUACUCCUACGGGAGGCAGCAGUGGGGAAUAUUGUACAAUGGGCGCAAGCCGGAUGCAGCCAUUCCGCGUGUGUGAAGAAGGCCGUCGGGUUGUAAAGCACUUUCAGCGGGGAUGCGUUACCCGCAGAAGAAGCACCGGCUAACUCCGUGCCAGCAGCCGCGGUAAUAC